rnacentral:misc_RNA from 1 species
GAUGAAGAACGCAGUGAAAUGCGAUAAGUAGUGUGAAUUGCAGAAUUCAGUGAAUCAUCGAAUCUUUCAACGCACAUUGCGCCCUUUGGUAUUCCAAAGGGCAUGCCUGUUCGAGCGUCAUUUGUACCCUCAAGCUUUGCUUGGUGUUGGGCGUCUUGUCUCUAGCUUUGCUGGAGACUCGCCUUAAAGUAAUUGGCAGCCGGCCUACUGGUUUCGGAGCGCAGCACAAGUCGCACUCUCUAUCAGCAAAGGUCUAGCAUCCAUUAAGCCUUUUUUUCAACUUUUGACCUCGGAUCAGGUAGGGAUACCCGCUGAACUUAAGCAUAUCAAUAAGCGGAGGA